UACGGAGGGUGCAAGCAUUGAUCGGAAUUACUGGGCGUGAAGGGCGCGUAGGCGGUGAGGGAAGUCAGAUGUGAAAUUCCGGGGCUCAACCCCGGAGCAGCAUUUGAGACUUUUUCACUAGAGUACAGUUAGGGAAAACGGAAUUCCACGUGUAGCGGUGAAAUGCGUAGAUAUGUGGAAGAACACCGGUGGUGAAGACGGUUUUCUGGGCUGUGACAGACGCUGAGGCGCGAAAGCUAGGGGAGCAAACAGG
rnacentral:rRNA from 1 species